rnacentral:rRNA from 1 species
GACGAACGCUGGCGGCGUGCCUAAUACAUGCAAGUAGAACGCUGAAGAGAGGAGCUUGCUCUUCUUGGAUGAGUUGCGAACGGGUGAGUAACGCGUAGGUAACCUGCCUUGUAGCGGGGGAUAACUAUUGGAAACGAUAGCUAAUACCGCAUAACAAUGGAUGACACAUGUCAUUUAUUUGAAAGGGGCAAUUGCUCCACUACAAGAUGGACCUGCGUUGUAUUAGCUAGUAGGUGAGGUAAUGGCUCACCUAGGCGACGAUACAUAGCCGACCUGAGAGGGUGAUCGGCCACACUGGGACUGAGACACGGCCCACACUCCUACGGGAGGCAGCAGUAGGGAAUCUUCGGCAAUGGGGGCAACCCUGACCGAGCAACGCCGCGUGAGUGAAGAAGGUUUUCGGAUCGUAAAGCUCUGUUGUAAGUCAAGAACGGGUGUGAGAGUGGAAAGUUCACACUGUGACGGUAGCUUACCAGAAAGGGACGGCUAACUACGUGCCAGCAGCCGCGGUAAUACGUAGGUCCCGAGCGUUGUCCGGAUUUAUUGGGCGUAAAGCGAGCGCAGCGGUUUGAUAAGUCUGAAGUUAAAGGCUGUGGCUCAACCAUAGUUCGCUUUGGAAACUGUCAAACUUGAGUGCAGAAGGGGAGAGUGGAAUUCCAUGUGUAGCGGUGAAAUGCGUAGAUAUAUGGAGGAACACCGGUGGCGAAAGCGGCUCUCUGGUCUGUAACUGACGCUGAGGCUCGAAAGCGUGGGGAGCGAACAGGAUUAGAUACCCUGGUAGUCCACGCCGUAAACGAUGGGUGCUAGGUGUUGGAUCCUUUCCGGGAUUCAGUGCCGCAGCUAACGCAUUAAGCACUCCGCCUGGGGAGUACGACCGCAAGGUUGAAACUCAAAGGAAUUGACGGGGGCCCGCACAAGCGGUGGAGCAUGUGGUUUAAUUCGAAGCAACGCGAAGAACCUUACCAGGUCUUGACAUCCCGAUGCUAUUUCUAGAGAUAGAAAGUUACUUCGGUACAUCGGUGACAGGUGGUGCAUGGUUGUCGUCAGCUCGUGUCGUGAGAUGUUGGGUUAAGUCCCGCAACGAGCGCAACCCCUAUUGUUAGUUGCCAUCAUUCAGUUGGGCACUCUAGCGAGACUGCCGGUAAUAAACCGGAGGAAGGUGGGGAUGACGUCAAAUCAUCAUGCCCCUUAUGACCUGGGCUACACACGUGCUACAAUGGUUGGUACAACGAGUUGCGAGUCGGUGACGGCGAGCUAAUCUCUUAAAGCCAAUCUCAGUUCGGAUUGUAGGCUGCAACUCGCCUACAUGAAGUCGGAAUCGCUAGUAAUCGCGGAUCAGCACGCCGCGGUGAAUACGUUCCCGGGCCU